CCCAUUUCUAAAUUAGAUAAGAUGAAUAGUAAUUACAUGAUCUCUAGCUAGAUUCAACUAUAUAAACAACAUAAGAAAUUUCAUAUACCUCACAGCAAAUUCCUCACAGCAAAUUAACUUCAAAUAUAUAUCCUUUAGUUCUUCUUGUCUUUAGCCAGGGUACAAAAUAUGAAGGGUACAAUAGUUAUGAGGUUCAUUGUGGUUGUUUUAGUUAUGUUGGUGAUGACUUCUAGCUUGGCCACGAGCAGAAAAUUAAUCGACAAUAAAGAAGACGAUGAUAAUGGUGUUUGGCAGGAAGGAAGUACAAAUGUGAAUAAUCACCAUUAUAAACCUAGGCAAGACUUCAACAAUGGUGAUGGGGGCACUGUUCCUAAAGGAUCGAGGACAUGAUACAGAUCGAUGCUGGCAAGUUCUAAAGCUACUGAAUUAUGCGGAACAAAUAGCUUUCGGUUGCUCUUGAAGUUAGAUAAUUAAUGUAUAUGCUUGCACGGUUGUGUAUUUUAAGUGGUACCUAAAUAGAAAUAAUGAUAAACCUUCAUGGUUGUAGACUUGAAGUAGCUACUACUAGUAAAUAUGGUACUAACUUUAAUUUUCCUGUUUCUGUCUAAUAAUGUUGCAGUGGGAAGUGUUGUAAUUUUUAUGUUGAAGCUUUGUCUAUAAAGUGGUGGUAGUAGAAAUUUCAUGUGUGCUUAUGUUGUUUGUACUAAAUAAAAAGAAGCUUUGGUUAAUCAA